ensembl:snRNA U2 U2 spliceosomal RNA
AUCGCUUCUCAGCCUUUUGACUACUAAGAUCAAGUGUAGUAUCUGUUCUUAUCAGUUUACUAUCUGAUAUGUCCUCUUUCCGAGGACAAUAUAUUAAACAUAGGGCCUUGCCCACACUAGGAAAGUUCUACAGAGCUGUGUCUAGGCUCCUUC